CCUACGGGAGGCAGCAGUCGAGAGGCUUCGGCAAUGGGGGAAACCCUGACCCAGCGACGCCGCGUGGAGGAUGAAGGCCUUCGGGUUGUAAACUCCUGUCAGGUGGGAAGAAAUGCCUACCGGUUAAUAGCCGGCAGGAGCUGACGGUACCACCAAAGGAAGCCCCGGCUAACUCCG
rnacentral:rRNA from 1 species